UACGGGGGGAGCAAGCGUUGUUCGGAUUUACUGGGCGUAAAGGGCGCGUAGGUGGCCACCGCAAGUCGACUGUGAAAUCUCCGGGCUUAACCCGGAAAGGUCAGCCGAUACUGCGGGGCUAGAGUGCAGAAGGGGCAACUGGAAUUCUCGGUGUAGCGGUGAAAUGCGUAGAUAUCGAGAGGAACACCUGCGGCGAAGGCGGGUUGCUGGGCUGACACUGACGCUGAUGUGCGAAAGCUAGGGGAGCGAACGGG
rnacentral:rRNA from 1 species